AGAGAAUCUCUUGAACCCAGGAGGCAGAGGUGGUGGUGAGUCGAGAUAGCACCAUUGCACUCCAGCCUGGGCAACAAGA
rnacentral:snRNA from 1 species